rnacentral:sRNA from 1 species
UGCGUUCAGCACGCGCUUGUCAAUUUCUUGCAGAGCAAGGCUACGAAGUUAUCAAUGUCCAAGGUGGCAUGGAUGCUUUAGAAUAAGAGAAACUCCCUUUGAGACU